UACGGGGGGGGCAAGCGUUGUUCGGAAUUACUGGGCGUAAAGGGCUUGUAGGCGGCCAACUAAGUCAUACGUGAAAUCCCUCGGCUUAACCGGGGAACUGCGUCUGAUACUGGAUGGCUUGAGAUUGGGAGAGGGAUGCGGAAUUCCAGGUGUAGCGGUGUAAUGCGUAGAUAUCUGGAGGAACACCGGUGGCGAAGGCGGCAUCCUGGACCAACACUGACGCUGAGGAGCGAAAGCCAGGGGAGCAAACGGG
rnacentral:rRNA from 1 species